GACGAACGCUGGCGGCGUGCUUAACACAUGCAAGUCGAACGGAAAGGCCCUGCUUUUGUGGGGUGCUCGAGUGGCGAACGGGUGCGUAACACGUGAGUAACCUGCCCUUGACUUUGGGAUAACUUCAGGAAACUGGGGCUAAUACCGGAUAGGAGCCCCUGCUGCAGGGUGGGGGUUGGAUAGUUUCGGCGGUUGGGGAUGGACUCGCGGCUUAUCAGCUUGUUGGUGGGGUAGUGGCUUACCAAGGCCUUGACGGGUAGCCGGCCUGGGUGGGUGACCGGCCACAUUGGGACUGAGGUACGGCCCAGACUGCUACGGGGGGCAGCAGGGGGGAAUAUUGCACAAUGGGCGGAAGCCUGAUGCGGCAACGCCGCGUGCGGGAUGACGGCCUUCGGGUUGAAAACAGCUUUCGCCUGUGACGAAGCGUGAGUGACGGUAAUGGGUAAAGAAGCACCGGCUAACUACGUG
rnacentral:rRNA from 1 species